GCCUACAUAUUCUAAAGGUACCAGAUCUUGUCUGAUCUUGGAAGCUAAGGAGAGUCAGACUUGGUUAGUACUUUAAUGGAAGACUGUCAAGCAAUACUUGGUGUUGUAGGCA
rnacentral:rRNA from 1 species